AGUUUCAGAGUUACCUGCUUCUCCCAGAGAGACGAGGACAGAUUGUCUCCAGCAGGGGCACAGCAGACAAAAGGCACAGACUGACCUGGGCAGCCCUUGCUAGGCAACCAAGCUAUGAAAUCACAGCUCACUGGCACCAGCCCAAGCCUCUCUCUUCCCCUGGGCUCAUGAAUCCUCUAUUGUGGCCAUAAAUGCCUUCCACAGUAACCUACAGCCGACCUACUACUGAACAAAUUCCAGCAAAUGUGUGGUAGUCACUUCUCUUCCUCGGGUCUGCAGGGACUCAGGGUGCAGCACUGUUCUCAGAUUUGGGCUGGAGCUCAGUAUGACUGUUGGAGUCUCCUGCUACCCCUGGAGCCUCCAUGUGCUCCACUCGGGUUGGGAUCCAGCAGUGCAGAGAUGAACUCUGGGUGCUUGGAAG
rnacentral:lncRNA from 1 species